rnacentral:rRNA from 1 species
AUACAGAGGGUGCAAGCGUUAAUCGGAAUUACUGGGCGUAAAGCGCACGUAGGCGGUUUUUUAAGUCAGAUGUGAAAGCCCCGGGCUCAACCUGGGAAUUGCAUUUGAAACUGGGGAACUAGAGUGUGUGAGAGGGGGGUAGAAUUCCAAGUGUAGCGGUGAAAUGCGUAGAGAUUUGGAGGAAUACCAGUGGCGAAGGCGGCCCCCUGGCACAACACUGACGCUCAGGUGCGAAAGCGUGGGGAGCAAACAGGAUUAGAUACCCUAGUAGUCC